UAGCCCACCCGUCUGGCAGGCAGCAUUCAAUCCUCCUAUGCCUUCUUUCUCCUCUUGUGGUCUUUCUUCUGAAACAAGGAAGAAACAGUCAAAUUAGAUUUGCCCUCUUGGAAAUGUGGUCCAGAUUGCUCUACUCCCAAGCUCCAGAAAA
rnacentral:lncRNA from 1 species